AAGCGGCAACAGCUCAAAUUUGAAAUCUGGUCCCCAGGGCCCGAGUUGUAAUUUGUAGAGGAUGCUUUUGGCGAGGCGCCUUCCGAGUUUCCUGGAACGGGACGCCACAGAGGGUGAGAGCCCCGUCUGGUCGGAUGCCAAGCCUAUGUAAAGCUCCUUCGACGAGUCGAGUAGUUUGGGAAUGCUGCUCAAAAUGGGAGGUAUAUGUCUUCUAAAGCUAAAUACCGGCCAGAGACCGAUAGCGCACAAGUAGAGUGAUCGAAAGAUGAAAAGCACUUUGAAAAGAGGGUUAAAAAGUACGUGAAAUUGUUGAAAGGGAAGCGCCUAUGACCAGACUUGGGCCCGGUGAAUCAUCCAGCGUUCUCGCUGGUGCACUUUGCCGGGCACAGGCCAGCAUCAGUUUGGCGCGGGGGACAAAGGCUUCGGGAAUGUGGCUCCCCUCGGGGAGUGUUAUAGCCCGUUGCGCAAUACCCUGCGCCGGACUGAGGUACGCGCUCCGCAAGGAUGCUGGCGUAAUGGUCAUCAGCGACCCGUCUUGAAACACGGACCAAGGAGUCGUCUUCGUAUGCGAGUGUUCGGGUGUAAAACCCCUACGCGUAAUGAAAGUGAACGCAGGUGAGAGCUUCGGCGCAUCACCGACCGAUCCUGAUGUUCUCGGAUGGAUUUGAGUAAGAGCAUACGGGGCCGGACCCGAAAGAAGGUGAACUAUGCCUGUAUAGGGUGAAGCCAGAGGAAACUCUGGUGGAGGCUCGCAGCGGUUCUGACGUGCAAAUCGAUCGUCAAAUAUGGGCAUGGGGGCGAAAGACUAAUCGAACCUUCUAGUAGCUGGUUUCCGCCGAAGUUUCCCUCAGGAUAGCAGUGUUGAACUCAGUUUUAUGAGGUAAAGCGAAUGAUUAGGGACUCGGGGGCGCUAUAUAGCCUUCAUCCAUUCUCAAUCUUUAAA
rnacentral:rRNA from 1 species